rnacentral:misc_RNA from 1 species
CCUUUUUAAACUCAAACAACAUUGAACUUUUCAUCCUCUCUCGCUUCCAUCUCUCUCAUUUUGAUUCACUUUCUUUUUCACAUAAUCUUAACAGCCAGACCAAUGGAUUUAGCAAUCAAUACAGAAAAAAAAUCACAAAAUUAUCGCUUUGUUAGAUAAACAAACUAAAAAUAGCAAAUUGUGCAAAUAAAUAAAUAAAAAAAC